UCAAGCAAUCCUCCCGCCUCGGCCUUCAAAAGUGUUGGGACUAUAGGCCCAGCCUCACCUCCCCAUUUUAACAAUCUACUACACAGCUCUGAAUCUUUCAACUUCCACCAAAAAAAAACAAAACAAAACACUUGCAUGGUUCCCUAUUGUCUAGGCCACAAAAUCCAAGAUCCUAGACCUGAAACUCAAAACCUCCAUGCUCUGACUCUCCUGUAGUCCAUGCUCUGACUCCAGCAUAAUUCUCCAGCCUCAUCACCUUCAGCUUUCCAUCACUCAUUUGCCUGACAAUUCAGCCAAUCAAGACUAGCUGCUGUUCUUUCAAUACACCUUACAUUUCCUCUACUUUAAGCCUUUCCCUCAUGCUGUGCCCUUCUUCUGGAAUGCUCACCAACUCCCACCUCCACUUCUCCAAGUCCCUGAAAUCAAGCCCAGCUGGAUGGCUACUACUCCAAGGAAGGCUCAUUUCUGCUGAAUGCACACCAGCUCCAAUCCUCCAAGGCAAAUACUCCUGCCCCUUCACCACCUGGUCCUCAGCCCUUUUCUCAUGGUGCAGUUCAUCUAUGAAAGAGACUGAGCCCCUAUGAGUGAGGGUGAUGUCAACACAACAGCAGGCACCCUUGGUAACCAAGUCAGCUUCCAUAUUGAUCAGGACUCUUUUGAUUGCAAGAAACCAAACUCGGAUCUUUAUAAAAGCAAAGGUAAUUGACUCAGUCAGAAGCACAUACAGCACGAGAGUUGUAGGCAUGGCUACACUUAAGCCAUCCCUUUAUCUGGCUUUCAUUAGAGCCUCGGCCGCGCCUCUUUUGUGGGAGAGACUUGAGGGAGCCGAGGCAGUUUCCCAGCCGCUGUGAUGUUGCUAAAGAUUAAAAAGGAGCUUUGAAGCUGCACCAGUUCUCUCUGUGCCCCCUCGGUACAGGACCUCAGAAAGACCCAAGCCAUCUGGCAAACCUGACAUAAAGACAAAAUAAAGUGAUUGAAACAGUC
rnacentral:lncRNA from 1 species